GACGAACGCUGGCGGCGUGCUUAACACAUGCAAGUCGAACGGUGAAGCGCGUUCCUUUUUGGUGUGUGUGGAUGAGUGGCGAAGGGGUGAGUAACAGGUGAGUAACCUUCCCCGUUCUUCUGGAUAACCGCAUGAAAGUGUUGCUACUACGGAAUAUUCUGGGUCUGUCGCAUGAUGGGUCUGGGAAAGAUAUUGUUUCGGUGGGGGAUGGGUUCGCGGCCUAUCAGCUUGUUGGUGGGGUGAUGGCCUACCAAGGCGGUGACGAGUAGCCGGCCUGAGAGGAUGGACGGUCACAGUGGGACUGCGACGCCGAGAAGACUCCGACGGGAGGCAGCAGGGGGUAAUAUUGCACGGGGGGAGGAAGGCUGAAGCAACGACGCGGCGUGAGGGAUGGACUUCUGCGGGUUGUGAACUUCUUUCGGGAGAGAAGCAGGCGUGCCUCGUUUGUGCGUGGGUUGACGGUAGCUGGAGAAGAAGCGCCGGCUAACUACGUG
rnacentral:rRNA from 1 species